rnacentral:rRNA from 1 species
GAUGAACGCUAGCGACAGGCUUAACACAUGCAAGUCGAGGGGCAGCGGGGCAGGAAGCUUGCUUUCUGCCGCCGGCGACCGGCGCACGGGUGAGUAACACGUAUGCAACCUGGCCGUGACAGAUGGAUAACCGGGAGAAAUCCCGCCUAAUACAGCAUGACGCCGGGAAGGGACAUCCCUUUCCGGCCAAAGGGGGCGACUCCGGUCACGGAUGGGCAUGCGGCGCAUUAGGUAGUUGGUGGGGCAACGGCCCACCAAGCCGACGAUGCGUAGGGGUUCUGAGAGGAAGGCCCCCCACACUGGUACUGAGACACGGACCAG